rnacentral:lncRNA from 1 species
GGCUGAUUUUCUCCUGUGCUUUGAAAGGUAUGAGGCCUCCUCGAUUGCACAAGUUCUGUCCUCUCUGUACCCCGCACAGGUUGGUAAUUACAUCCUUGGCAAUUGAUAUUCCCCAGGGAUUAAUGUUUGGUGCCAGCUUUAAUGUUAGAGCCACAAUUAGAAUAUUCAUUAUGCUAAUAAUGUUACACCACUCGUCUUAUGUAUAUUUAUGUAUGAGAAGAUAUGAUAAUUCUGUGUAAGUUACUUGGGAGCGUGGAGAGCAGUGUAUCAUGUGAAACACCCUUUUCCUAACCAGCAGAGACAGCGAAGGAGAGGAAAUGAGCAUUAACCAGGAGCUGCCAUGCACCCAGAGGUGUUGGGUGCUCUAGAGGUGAUUUCGCCCGGUCUUGGAAGUCACAUUCUGAAACACUCCUUCCUGUUGUCUCUGUUUUCUGGCUGGAAGUAACUUGCUCCAUAGCACAGGGCUCAGCUGGUGCCUAAGCCGGGGUUGACCUCACAGUUACUCCCAAGGCACCGGGACCCUGCCCAGCGGCAGCCCCCUGGGAAAGCUCCUUUCUUCUCACUGGUUUUCAUCCCCUUCCUGGGGAGAGUGGCAGGUCUCAGCUAUCAGUUUUGCAAAGCGGCUGUUUAGGUUUUCAGCAAGAGAGAAGUUGAAGCAAACAUUGUUUAAGCAAAGCAUUGUUUAAAUUCAUGCUGGAUCUCGCUACUUAAUUUCUUUAUUAGUGGGUUAGAGAUGUCCUCCCUGGUACAAACUGGAACACAACGUCUUAAUUGCUAUGAAUCAUCAUCUCAGGAGAUUGACUGAAUUCUCAGUUUUGAUGUUUUUAAGAGACUUUGCUCAUAGCCACGUAGCUCUUUCCUCCACUGUGAAUUAGGGCAAAGGGGAGACUCAGGCAAGAUUGCCGUCACUCAUCUUCCUGGGGCGAUUCGGAAUGCCGGACAUCUGGUGGCCUCCAUGCUUACCUGGGAGACCUGGAGUGGCACAGUGCACUGGGCAGCCCCAGCCCAGGCGACCCGGCAGUUACACCCCGUGUCUGUGCUUCUGUCCCCUUCUUGUAAGAUGAGACUAUGCUUAACCUCUCCCGGUGCUGUGGCCUGCAGACCAGCCUCCCCAGGCAGCCAGAGGAGAGGCUUGGCCAUGGGCAGCGGAGGCUCUCCACUGAGGACCCUGAGUGGUUCACUCCUGGUGCCCACAGGCCCGUCACAUCCCGGGGGUCGGGACAGUGUGGAUGCACCACAGGGCCAGGGGCUGUGGAUGGGUUUGCACAGGGAAAAGGAAGAGCGGGAAUGCCAGGCAGAGGAGAGAAAGUCACCACGGAAUUCAGGACAAGCCGAGACAGGUUGGCUCUUCUAUCAGCUAAAUAUGUACCAAUAGUUUUCUCCUGAGGAAAACUUUAUUCUUUGCUUAUUUUUCCCUUAUUUAGUGUGAAAGAAUUGUUUUCAGAGUGGGACUGAGUUACACCUCUGUUCAGCGUUUCUUCUGUGACAGAUUUGCUUUGGGGCUGGCUGGCUUCUUUUCUCCCAGGUGUGUGCAGGGGUCUGCAGGAUCUAGGGGACUUACCCCAGAAGCCAGGGCAGACCCCUGCUUAGGGGACUUACCCCAGAAGCAGGAACAGACCCCGUGGGGCUUACAGAUGGUACUCUCAUUGCCACUGUCAGGAUGGAGCAUGCUUAACCCUCUCCAUGGCAAACACACACCUAGGGUGAAAGAGAUCCCAUCAGAAACACUAAAACGUACUGCACAACUUUAUUGAAAAGACUCUGAGACCGACCACCUCCACUCUGUCAGUCACACACACUCACAACACACGUGCAAACAGGAAAUCAGCCAGCUAACCCAUCCACACAGCAAUAACAACCAUGACUCAGUUUCACAAGAAUGAAAAGAAAUAGAAAUUUAAGGGGAUAUGAAGGAGGUAGGUGGUGGAGCAUGAGGGUGAGAACAGCAAUCACAGUGUCACCUCCCAUUCAGCCCUGAGGCUCCUGGCAGCCAGGGCAAAGAGAGAAACAUUCUGUGUCAGUGGGAGCCAAUCAGUGAUUCAAGGGCAGUAAAGGUUUCCCCCUGAGUUGGGCACUAUGAAGUCCAUUUUUUCCCGUUCGACCUUCUCAAAUAGACUUCAGGUCUAGAUUUUUGUGUAAAUUAAGGGACAAACUCCUCAGCAAAAGCAAUAGACUUCACAUGGCAGGUUUGAAUAAUGCCUGUUGGAAAAAAACAGGAGUCACAACCCAGAGGCCCAGCUCCACAAGGACUUUUGGCCAGUCUGGCUGGACCCACAUUCAGAAUUCAUCAGGGGCUGUGGAGGACACUUGUAGAAAAUGAGAUACUGUCACCCACAUGCACCUGGGGUUUCAGGUCCCAGGCAGACAGAUUCCUGCCCUCCUCUGAGCCACUUCCCAUCCUGUCUCCACAUGUGGCCAUGAUGUCCUUCCAGUGUCCCUUCUGGAAGUAUCUCUGACUAGUCCUGGGCUGUUGGUGGCUCUUUCCUGCACAGGUCCUCCCUCCAGGCUUUCUGCGAGCCCGUCUGCCUGCUCACACCCUCUUACUCCAGAUCUUUUUAUGGGCAAAAUCUGAAGAUCCUCAGAAAGACAGGAGGGGCAGUGCUCAGGUGGAUUUCAGGGCACCACCAUGUGAUCUUGACUUAGAGGACAUUUUUAACGCACGUAGGGUGAAAAUAAAAAAGUGUGUCGGCUGUGGGAAUCAGAAGUAGGAAUGUUCCAGAAGUCUGCAUAUCGCUAUCUUAAGGCAUUCAGCUACAGAGAUCUGAAAACGGGUGAUGCUCCCAGAACCCAUACGCCUGGUGCUGGUCUUCGUCACGCUCUCCCCCAGGCCGGGGCAGUUCUAGGUACGGGAGGUGGAGGUGGGUGAGCACAGAAAGCCGGAGACCCUUUGGUCUGAUGUGACCGUGUCUGUUGGGAGCUCCCUGGAAUGUUUUGAACUAGGGAGUGUUGGCUGAGCAGGAAUGAGGCGAGAGGAAGUGGGAGAGAGUGGCAGUGUGGGGAGCCUGCGUACGGAUGGCCAGAGGCAGAGGCCCUGUGAGCAGCAGGGCCUGGGCUGAGUUGUCCCUCAGUAGGCCGAUGUUGGGGCCACUGCCGGGGAGGAAAGAUAAGGUGGGGGCUGGCUUGGGAGGUCAAGGCCUUCUGAGCAAGGGGUCAGGCAGGAUGGGCUGCCGCAGUCCGGCUACAGCAAAAUAACGGGGGGUGGGGGGGGUGAGGAGCAACUUGUGUAGAUUGAUACAGCAGGAGUGGGAGCCGUUUAUUGUAGGACAGGAGGGGUAUAUAUACAUUCCACACAGCUUAUCUUAAUUAACAUAAACUAGAUACAGCAGUCAACCAAUAAGGAGUCUCCACACUUAAUGGCUCGCUGGCGUUACUUCACAAACCACUCCCUCUGCAAAAUGCCAGGCGCCAUCUUGACUUGUUUACAGACCCUAACAAUGGGCCACUUAAUGGGUAAUUUGACCAUGCUAUGUUGAAGACGCCUGCUGGACUUCCGAGUUGGCUAGUGCUGGAGAAGGCUACUUAGUCACCAGUGUAUGUUCUUUCAGAAUUUUUUGGAAUACUCUAUUCUGUCUCCUGUCUCUUUCCUGGAGGCCUUACUUUUAUUUGAUUUCUAGAUAAAACUCAGGACUGUUUCACACCACCUCAUUAUCACCACCUCACUGGCUUCCUCUUGUUUUCGAUUUCCUUUCUUUUCUUUCCGAUCAUUUGGAGAAAAAUAACCAGCCCGCCCCAGCUUCCCAGGGCCCUGGUCCCCACUGCCGCAGGUUGGAGUUUGAAGGCCGCGGGUGCUGGGAGCGUAUCCUCUGCUCCUCCACUCACCACAGGCCUGGGCUCACUCCCUGCUCUGCACCAGGGCAGCAGCAGAGGUCGCAAAGGUCAAGCAGAGUGAGGCAGCUUGGAGGACCUCGCAGAGGAGGCAGAGUGGACAGACAACCAGGACAUUCAGUUGCACACACACACAACAGCAGUGGCCCAGGGAGGAAGGAGCAGCUGCCCUGUGGGGUGCUGGACAGCUCCUGGAGGCCUUCCCUCUCUCAUGCACAUAGACCUCCCUGUCCCAAGGACACACUUGUGCCUCCCUCUGCUGAGCACCCUCUUGCUGUCCCCCACGGCCACCUCUUCUUUAUCACUCCUCAGCUCCAUAGCCACAACCUCAAGGAGCCUUCUGAGGCUCUCACACUAGGGCUGUCCCUCCUCACUGGCUGGGCCACUCCAAAUGGCCUCUGCUUUUGACCUUGACAUUUGCAUAAGUAGUGUCCCUCAGUAUGUUUUUCUAAAGAUCACCGGCCUUUAGACUUUAUCUUUUUUUAGAUAAAUAAUUACUGAGUGGGUGUACACAGAUCAAUAUGAUGCCAAUCCUAGCUUUCAAUUUUAGGAGGAAUAAAGCAUAAAAUGCGUAAUUGGUGGUAAGAUGGCUGACUGCUGUUUGUGGCUAAGAAGUAGACCCCCUCUGCCAACAUUCUGAAAUAAGUACUCCACUCUUAACACCUGGUCAGACCUGACCCAGGUGAAAUCCACAAAUGUAUGUGUUCAUAGUAUUUUAUGUUUUUGUUUUUUUUUUGUGUGUGUGUGUGUGUGCACGCGCACCGUGGCAGCCAUGGUGAACUUGCUCUGGAAGAAUUCACGUCAAAGUCAAGAUCAAUGCUUGUCAGGAUGAUUUGCAGGCAAAGGAAAUGACCAUUUCUGUUGCGAGACUAUUUCCAGGUGGUUUAGGACGAGCAACUUCUAGAGACGUUUGAAAGCUGCCGAGCGUGAACAGAAACCUCUGUUUGGAACCUCGUAUGGAGGGCACAGUGGUCAUAAAUAUUUAGCAUGAUUAUGGGCAAGUAUUUAUUAAAAACACGAGGCUUUAUUUUAAAGGAUUCCUGGGCUUAUUGUGCCUAAUGUCAACAAAUGUUAGCAUGUACGGCUUUACCUUUCAGAGAAAAGGUCCAAUAGUGGGCUCUGAGCGAGAUCCGUACACCUACACGCUGCAGAUGGCUUCGUUUUAUAAGAGAUGAAACCGCAUUUGGUGGAACUGAUUAAAUAUAAAAACACCACCAUCUGCCAUUUAUUCUAAUAUGAAAUGGUUUGGGCAGAUGCUGACAUCUUUCGAGAUGAUAGAUUCAUCCCUGACGAGGGGAGAUGCUCAGAGGGUUCCAGCUGCCCACUGUGGAGGCAGCCUGGUGGGCUAGGGCCACGGCCAGUCCCAGCAGGCCACUGUGGACGUGGCGGGAGAGCAGGGGACACUUCAUCAAGGAGAAGCUGCACUCCGAGCGCGGGACCCCUCCCUUCUCCCGCCUCCCUUGACUCCUGACCGGUAGUUAACUGAGAGAAUAUUUUAUGCACAUUCUGCCUUCUAUUAAGUGUGGGUCCCUCUGAGCUGGGGUGACAGGGGGAGUGGUAUUUUCAGAAAAUAGAGAGCAUAUUUACAUUUUAGUGUUGAAAACUUUCAAAUGCUCUAUAAAUAUGCUACUGCUGGGUUUAAAAUUAUUUUUUCUAAGUGGAUGAGAGGGUGGUUUCAUUAAAAAAGCUAUUGUUUACCGGGAGGGCAGGCCACAUGCUACAGACUGGCUUGGAAACAGCUGCAUCCAUAUUGCCUAAACAUCCACGGGUAUCCUAACACCCUUUAGAGGGCAAUAAAGUGUAUCUUUUAUGGAGGAAUGUUUUCCUAACAUUUUUUUAACCACUUAAAUGAUUUUAGAAGGAAAAACCUAGGGAUCAAGACAUUUACUUGGUGCUCUGUAAAAUAUCUUCCCAUUCCUGUUGUAGUUGUGGAUGUAAAUUUAUUUUUUUUCUCUUAUAGAACUAAAGUCAGAGGUGAAGCUUGGUUUUUCCCAACUUGUUCAUCACAUUGUAAAAUACUUGAGCUCCAUCUGAAUAACUAGGCAAAGUGAUUUAAGAAUAUGUCUGGAUAUUGUUUUUAGCUAAAUAUAGCAGAACUCGGGCUGCUGCCGUGCAGUGUGCCGGGUCCCAUCUCAGGUGCACCCGGUCAGGGUGUCUGCACAGACGUGUCCACCUUUUGGUGCUCAGAGAAAACUCCACUGCUCUGAAACAGCGGCUGCUCCACUUAUUUCCUUUCUACUUCCUCUCGUCCCUUUUGUUCUGCGGAUGCUUUCUGGUCUGGUGACGAAGGUCGGGGCUGGCCUGGUGGGCUCUGAUGGUUUUCCAGGAUCCUGCGCCCAGGGCUCCUGAGACCUUCUCCCUCUGGCCCGGGCUGUGCCCACUCUGCCUGCGCCUGUCCCCUGCUCACACUCCUGUCUCUAAAGACUCUUCAGGUCCUCCCAACAGUCGGCUUCCCUGUUUGUCCACCCACCUUCUCUUCCUGUUGUUGUCUUGCUUCUUUCCCAUCCUCCUGAUUGUGUGGACACCCGGAGCCACAUUCCCCAGCUGUAGGCCCUGACUGGACAGUGCUCUGUGGCCUCAGGGCUCACCCCCGCCUCCUUCGGUGCUCCCUCCCACCCUCCUUAGGUUCUCUCCCCGACCCCUUCCCUCACCUGCUUGCUAAGCGCUGGAGGCACAGGGAAGGUUCCCAAGGCCGCAUUGUGCCCUGCCUGUAACUUGCAUGUGGACGUCCCGAGUCCCAGGAGGAUGGCUUUGGACAGCACCAGGGUCCUCCAAGAGGUGGGUGAGCUGAAGUGAGGGCAAAAGUGGGUUCUGGUGCACUUGGCCCGUGUCCUUGUGAGGAGAGAUCUGGGCAGAGCCUCAGAGGAGGAACUAUGACUGAAGAGAGGGAGGGAGAGGGCAGCCACCUGGGAGCAAGGAGGGGGAUCCUCACGGCCCCGGAAGGAGCACCAAGAGGAGGAUCCUCAUGGCCCCGGAGCACCGUGCUCACACCUCAAGUUCAACUCCAGGCUCCAGAACCCUGAGGAAAUAGCUUUCAGUCUAGGUCUCUCAGUCUUUUGUACCUUGUCCCAGCAGCCUAAGGAAACUGAUUCAGAUGCCCCCUGUCCUCCAGGCCUACAGGGUCCUGCUAAGUGGGACAAAGAUGCAAGGGAGCCCCCCAGGGCAGCCAGAUGCCACUCUGAAGCAGGCUGGAGGGCAGACAGCCCUAAAGGGCCUCCCGCAGGUGCAGGAAAGGCCUUGGGGAGACAGCAUGGAUGUCUCUGGUUCUGAGAUCAGCAAGGAGUUUCCAGAAGGCAUUUGGGGGGUGUCUCUGGACAGCCGAACCAUGGCCAGAGUAACCAAGACUGAAAUACCUCUCUGGCCAGUUUGAUUGCUGUAGGUGAACGGAGCACUCAGGAUGUAUCUGUGAAGCCUUUAGGCCUGACUUUAUAAACAUUCUUCCUCCUUCCCAAGAAGGAUCCUGAGCCUCUGAUUCUGUGGCCACAUGCAGCCUGGGGCGUGGGGGUGGGGUGGAGGCGUGUCUUUUGAGGAAAUCCUCUUUGAAGCCAGAGCAACUGAAAUAUCAGUUAAGGUGAAAAACUAAACUGGCUGUUAAUUCCUUCUCUGAGCUAUCUUUCAGUCAUGGUUAAAAGGAUUAAUUCUUCAAAGCAAGCAGCCUUGUUUGCUAAAUCACUGCAAGAGACUCGAGCAUCGCCGGGGAGCAGGACAGCUGGAUUUGAAGUUGUAGGCGGAAGCCAAGCGUGGUCCGGGCUUCUGCAUGCGCUUCAUUCUGGCACUUUUCCUCCGUGUCCUCGUCCCCAGCAUUUGCUCCUCAGGUUGCUACCCUUCUGGCCACACACCCACUCUAAUUUGAGCCAUCUUCCCAGUGACAUUCAUUUUCAUUCCCCCCUCGAAAGUUCUUCUGCCAUAUGCUCAUUUAAUCCCAGUUGUGGUGCCUGAACAUCUUGUGUACUCAGUGCUUGGUCCCCCGAGGCUCCGUGCAGCUGAGUGCUGAGUGACCCAUGAAACCAUGUCAAUCGCAGCGGGCAGCUCCUGAUAACUUAGGUCUCUCGUUCCUGAUUAAAAAUAGUACAAGUCCAGAAUUUUUUUGCACCUUAAAUAGUUAUGUGAGACGGUUUGAUUGCUCCCGUGCUACAUCUUGCUUAAGGACCUGUUAGGGUGAAAUAUUGCUGUGGUUUGAAUGUUUGUGUCCCUCCAAAAUUAAUGUCAUACUGACUCCUCCAGGAGAUGGGCCUUCCUGGGAACUACUGCAUUUCAGGGUUCCCCCUGCAUGAGUGGAGUUGACAGGCCCCAGAGAGCUGUGUGUUCCCUUUGUGUCCCUGUGUGCCAUUGAUGAAGCAGACAGCAGUCCCUCUAGGCACCAGAUCCGUUGGUGUCUUCAUGUGGACUUUCCAGCCUCCAGAACAGUGAGAAAUAUUAUUUAAUCUAUUAUUUAAAGAUCACUCAGCCUAAGGUAUUUUGUUACAGUAGCCCAGAAGGGACCGAGGGAGCUGUACAACACGUUUUCAGAAACUUGGUGUCUCUGAGUACAGGAGCCCAAAUUUGGAACUAGCAAGUGAGGCUGAAAGAAGUGAUACCCAGUGUCAGAAACGUUAAUGUUUUAAUUCCCCAUAACCAGAACUAGAAGUUUCUCAGGCCCAGCAGUGGACAAGAGGCUGCGGUCCCCACCAGGGAGCAUGGAGGCAUGCUUGCGUACCCGCGUGCUCCUUGUCAGUUCCUAGCCCUCUGUUCUGCAUCUCCCUGCCUGGCACAGUGGAGGAGCAGGGGUCAGGGCUAGCGUGCCUUCCCUGCCUGGUGGCACUGUGUUCCUGUCUCCCAGGGAACGCGGGGCUGAGGGAGGUCUGGGGUAGAGCCGUGGCCUGUCACUCUCUGAGAGACUGUGAAGCCCUCUGUGUUCUCUGUUCAACCACAUCAUCCGCUCACCCCCUCCUUUCCGUGGCUCCCGUCAUGGGCAGGGCCUCCCACGCACUCCUGGGCUUCUGAGCUCCCUACAGGUGCUGGUUUCCUGUUGGGUGUCAUGACCACUUCCAGUGGCCUCUGCCACUGAGAGGGGGUGGCAUCAGCUUUGUUGCUCGUCCAGCCGGAGGUGGUGGACCCAGCUGCGAGUUCAGAUCCGUGAUGCCACUGGUGGAGUGUGGGAUGCUGGUUUCCAAUUUGUAUUUAUUUAUUUUUUUAAUUUAUUUUUUUAUUGGUUGUUCAAAACAUUAUAAAGCUAUUGACAUAUCAUGUUUCAUACAAUAGAUUCAAGUUGGUUAUGAACUCCCAAUUUUACCCCAAAUACAGAUUGCAGAAUCACAUGGGUUACACAUCCACAUUUUUACAUAAUGCCCUAUUAGUAACUGUUGUAUUCUGCUACCUUUCCUAUCCUCUACCAUCCCCCCUCCCUCCCCUUCCAUCUUCUCUCUGUACUCCAUCUACUGUAAUUCAUUUCUCUCCUUGUUUAUUUUCCCAUUCCCCUCACAACCUCUUAUAUGUAAUUUUGUAUAACAAUGAGGGUCUCCCUCCAUUUCCAUGCAAUUUCCCUUUUCUCUCCCUUUCCCUCCCACCUCACGUCUCUGUUUAAUGUUAAUCUUUUCUUCCUGCUCUUCCUCCCUGCUCUGUUCUUAGUUGCUCUCAUUAUAUCAAAGAAGACAUUUGGUAUUUGUUUUUUAGGGAUUGCCUAGCUUCACUAAGCGGGCUUGUGGACACCUCUAGGGCUGUCGUUGGCUCUCUCUGUCUCGGAUUUCUCCUCUCCCUCGUGGACCUGACAGACUCUCCAUUCCCACAGCGCCCUGCGCCUCUUCCCCAGGGCCGCGUGGUCUCCACUGGCGUCGAGCUGUCUAAGCUCUUACCUGCACCCCCUCUCUCAGCCCCCUCAGUUCCAUCCCCGUCCUGUGAUUCUAGCCUCCACUCUCACACAGAAGCUCAUUUUUAGGGUCACUUGCGGUGCGGGCCUCCCUCCGUCCCUCCCUCCCUGAGUCGAAGGCUUCCUGUUGAUAAAGGCGCUGCGUGGACCGGACCGAGGGACCUUGAGAUUCGUGGACAGCUUCCCAGUGUGUGUCCUGUCUCUGCCUUUCUCAGUCCUCACCAGCGCCUCAUUUGUGACAGACCCCUGCUGGCAGCGACACACAACUCUGGGUGCUUCAUGCAACGUCUUUUCUGGGAGUCUGGAUGUUGGUCCUGUUCUUCCCACAGGUGCUGCUCCCGGUUCUGCAGUCCUGAUUACCAGCUGCUUUUGAGAGAAGCUCUGUCGCCUCCUUUGUAGCUGUGCUUCCAGGUCAGAGGGCACUGUGACCGACACAGGCAAUGCCUGUGCUCCAUGUGCACAGAAACUCUUCUUCAGAACCAGUGCAGCCACAUGGCUUCUCUGUGACAACCGGGGUUUGAUGUCUCUGCACGAAUGAGGCCGGGACUAUGAAUUCUUCCUAAAUUCAAUCAAAUAAUGAGGAUCAAAUGAAAAGUUUUUUGGAAAUUAUUUUUUUCCUCAUGUUAGUAUACUUUUUAGUGUUCUGUUGGUAGUGAUUGUGAGGAACAACAGUCCUACUCAAGUAUAAUAUUAAAAAUUAUCAAGAAAAGCUUUUACUCAGGAAGUAAGAAUUAGAAGAGAAUGGUCAACUCUAGGAAGACACGCAGUUGCUCAAGGAGGGGUGAAGUGCCUGGUUCCCGAGGUCUGUGCUCUGGUGCCUUCCAGGUGUCACAUUGGGACUUUAUUAGAGGGAUGGGCACAAGCUAAGAGUUACCUGAGUGGCCCAAGAUUGGCUUAUGGACAGUCUAAACACAAGGGAAAUUUCAGGCAAUAGUGACCUUGAGGGUCAGAUGUGGCUAGUCCUGGCCUCUCACCCAAGUCCCCGUGCUGGCACGAGCUGCUACCUGGAGCUGGGUUGGGGACUUGCAGGGACUAGCGAGGGGCUUCCUUCUGAUGAUCUCACCUUCAGGAACUUAGGUUAAGGAAAUAACACACAGGAUGUUUCCUGUGGCAUCAUUUAGAAUUUGACAGGGUGGGAAAGACCUUAAUAUCUAGCAAGGUGGAAUUUGUAAAGCAAGUUAUGGUAGAUGUAUAAAUAAAUACCAUGCCAGUGAUCGACCCAUAUUUAUUGAAAUGGAAAUCCAUGUGUUGGGCUGGGGAUGUGGCUCAAGCGGUAGUGCGCUCGCCUGGCAUGCGUGCGGCCCGGGGUUCGAUUCUCAGCACCACAUACAAACAAAGAUGUUGUGUCCGCCGAAAACUAAAAAAUAAAUAUUAAAAUUCUCUCUCACUCUCUCUUUAAAAAAAAUAGAAAUCCAUGUGUCACAUAUUGCUAAGUUUAAAGAAAAUCUGAUCACGAAAGAGCCUAUAGGUAUAAAUACAUUUUUGGGUAAAUUUGCAAAGGUAUAGAUAUAAACAAAAAACUACAUGUGUGUAUAUGUAUAGGAAAAAUCUGCAAGUGUUAAUGAGGGGUAUCACUCAGGGAAAGAAGUGUUAGUUCACUUUCUUCUUUGUGUUUUGUUUAUUAUCUGAUUUUUUUUUCUUUUUUAAACAAGACGACUGCUAGUUAAUUACACAGAGGAAAGCCCUGCAGCUGUUGGUCUUAUCUGGCAGGCGCAGGUCUAUUUCCAGGACUCUGAACUCUCUUGCUUCUCCCUUCCUGACUGUGAUCAGAGCUCUGUGAGCUUCGUGCUCUGGGCUCCGUGUUCUGGAACUGACCUACAGGGCUCACCCAGCGUGUUCUCUGCCUUUUCAGUUUCAAUGCUGCUCCUUGGUAUUGUUGGCUGGCUCCUGUCCUUGAGUCCUGGCCUUAUCAUCUGCCAGCAUUCCAGUUCUUCCAGUACCAUCUCACCCUUGUUGGUUUUCCCUGGAUGGACAUGUGAUCUGGGGUUCUGGGAGCCCUGACACCUACUCACAGGUGCUCUGCAGAGUCACCAUCCUGCAUCUGUUGCCAGAGUAUGGCUACCUCACUGCCCACCUGCUGCAUGCUUGGGAUAUGCAUGUGCCCAUAAGGCUGGGCCACCUCUCAGCCCCUAUGGGGGCCUACCCCCCACCAUUGCUGUGCCUGCUGUGCUGCAGGUCCUCUUCCUGAUCUAGCCUGCACCCUCCUGCCUGGUGACUGUCCAUUUUCAGCUAUGAAUCCUGGAGUUUCCACCACUGUUGGUCUCUAGGCAAACCAGGCCGAACCUAAUGUGUGUGUGCAGCUGUCAAUAAAUGUGGAUGUAUCUGGGAAUUCCAUGGGAACCAAUGAUGUGCUGGGCUCAGGAAUCAUAUAGAGAAUCAUUUAGAAAGGUGUUUUUGGAUCACAAAUCAAAAACAGUUUGACAGUUUGAGGUGGGGUCUUUGAGAGGUGACUGGGCCAUCAGGGCUGCUCCUUUGCAACUGAGGUUAGAUGCUCUUGUAAAGGGGCUUCCCAGAGAAGGUGGGUCCCCCCUGCCCUCUUGCCCUCCACCAUGUGAGGACACAGCAAGAGGGCCCCCACCAGAGCCUGGAACCUUUAUCCUAGACUUCCCAGCCUCCAGAGCUGUGAAAAUGGAUUUCUGUUCUUCGUAAAUCAUCAGUCUAUGAAUUAUUGGUGGCAUCCUGUCUCAGGGAUAGAAAGUCCUUCUGUAUUCAUUUCCAUUCAUGGAGAUUUUGGGGAGACAUAAUUCAACUCAUUAUAGUCCACUCUCUGGCCCCUAAAAAUUUACCUUCUUAUCUCAGGCAAACACAUGCCCAUCCAUUCUAUUGGCCCACACGAGGCUCUGUGUGAGCCUGUCUGUGAGUAGGCUUUCCAGAUGGGCUAUGGUUUGCGGAAUGCUGUGCAUCUUGAACUCUUCUGAUCCCUACAAUCUUAGGCAGGAAAACCAGGCCUGACGCAGAUACGGAAGAUUUUUUUAAAAAUCAUUGUUAAUAUGGAAGCAAGGCUCGGGAGCCUAGCGGGGAAGUUGAAGGUUGCAGAACUUGGGGCUGCUGGGGCAGGUCAUGGUCCCUCCAGGCACCUUCUUAGCACUCGUUUGUCUGUGUCUUAUCUAGAGGAGGUGAUCUGUCCACGUGUGGCCGCGGGACUGGAGUGGUUCUUCAGGUGGGACCCUGGCAUGGCACCCUGCACGAUGGGUGAAAACCAGGAACCUGAAAAGUCAAGACUUGCCCGGAAGCCGCCCUGUCUGGGCUCUCAGAACCAUCUUCCCUCUUGUCAGAGGGUCUGUGUCUGACCUCAGGGACCCCAGGCUGACGUCAGUGCACGCUGAGUCUGUCUGGGCCUCCUGCCUGCCCAGGAGCAUUGGGAGGCCAUUUCUGCUCAUCCCUGCAGUGCCCUCCGCUCACUUGGUCACACCAUUGGGUCACACCUGGACUGGGUAGGACUCCGUCCCUUGGUGCAAGGUGGCUGCUUUUUCCUUUGGCUGGACAGAGUGUCCUGACCAAUGACAGCCUCCAGCUGCUCACAGGAGGUUGCUUUUUCCGAGCGACACCUUCAUGGCUAUUUCCACUGUGGUUAGCUUCACCUCCGUAGGUAAACAGAGCAUGAGGUACAAGCAAAACUGACCCAACAGGCUGGGCAAACAGCACUCCAGGUGAAUGACCAGUGAAUGACCACUGGGGCGCUCUUCCUGCCGGGGCCAAGAUAUUUUUUUGGCAGUCACUGCAUGCAAUUUAUUUAAAAUCAUUUUUCCUCCAUGUUUUUAUUCGCUCCUCUUUUAAAAUUUAUUUCGUAGAACAAUACUAUGUCUCCAGUGUCAAAUAAUUGAUCCAAAUGCGUUUUCUUGUUUAGAGUCCAUUUGCAAGGCAAAAAUAAUUUCUCAGAUGAAAAUCAGGCUUUAGAAAUUUUGCUGCUGUGUUUUAGUUAUAGAAGUGGCACUAACAGAAAAUUAUAAGUUAUGCAAUUGUAGCGUUUAAAGCUUAUUAAAGCCAUGCUUUACUAUAAAAGCAAAUUUUGGGUAUCGCAAAUGGGACUUAGUUAUUUUGUAUCCCUACAUAGUCCACAACCUUGUGCAGAGCUCCUUAAAGACGGCUUACCAAUAGUUAGAUCCCACAAUGAUACUCAAUCAUUGAGCACCCAGGAGCUUCCGACUGCUGGUAUAAUGUGAUUUCUUGUGUUUUUCUCUCUUACUAGACAGCGGACAGGGGGAAAAAGUGAAGAAUCGCCCAUCAAAAUUUUGAAAGACAUGCUUCAUCUCCUUGUCUGUCCUUCCGUUCUCUCCGUGGUUUACCCUGUGCCUCUAUCUAUGCAGCUCUGUGUCCCGGUUUCCUCAUCUGGGCCUGCAUCAUACAAUUGUUGGAAAAUGAAGUGGAACAACACACAUAAUGGAUUAAUGUGAACACGAAUGCCUGGCAUGCAGGAAGUUAAGGGCUCAUGUUAGGCUGUGUAAUUAAUAAUUCCAUCAGCAACCCAGGUCAAGUUGGGUCCUGCUCCUUAGAGGUGAUGCUCAGGAGAGCCCACUUUAUGUCAGCCUGGGCCUUCCGUACCACCACGUGUCUCCAGGAUAGUGUAGUGCUUGGAACUGUGUCACCAACUGGGAAUGACUGGCUAAUUGGCUGUUCCUGUUUCUUGGAGUCUGAGGGUCAUCCAAUCAUCCUGAAGCAAAACCCGCUUAGGGUGGCUGGGAUAACUAUAGUCUGACACCUUCCAGCCAUGCACUGGGAGAUGAGGUCCUGGCACAAACUGCACAUUUUGAUCAUUUUACACAAGACCUCUCAAAUAUUAGGACUUGAGCCUUUAUGUCAGUGGUAUUAGUAUGCACAUGGUCAUCUGUGUUAUAGUGCUCAUGAUUGACAGCAACACCUGCCACCCUUUCUGUGGUCUGAGUUCAUGAGGUUGAUGGUGCUGACUGUGUGGAGACCCUCUUUCCCUCUAUUUCUUGGUGUUUCUCCCCAAGCCAUGGACACUCUGGGAAAAUGCUUUGUCAGAUGGAGGAGGAAGGCCCUCUGGCCCCCACUGAUUUUCCAGUAGCAGCAUCUACCACACACCCAAGGCCCUUCUGCCAUGGAGCAGGGAUUGCAUUAUAAACACACAAGGUGUUUGAGUGUCUGUCACACACUGGUCCUAGGGAAGGACAACUACAGGAUUUGCAGAGAGGCUUGGGUCAUGGUUCCUCAGAGGUGAGAAUCGCAGUAGAACCUGAAGCAAGCUCAUUCUCUGACAACCUGCAGCUGCCUCUCCCAAACCACACAUUGCCAAAGUUGUUAGCAAGUCCCUCCUGGGACAUGUGUCAGUUUCGUUUGUAGUAAGAUGGUGAGUGGGGCCUUCCUCGUGCAGCUGGGACCCACGAAUGGAAACAGGAGGUGUGAAGUGCUCCCGUGCUCACAGAGGGCCCUCCUGGCACCCCCCCCCCCCAUGCCCAGCCUCGGGCUCUGUGGGAAGGGAAGGGCCGAGGAGGGGAGGCCUGGGGGCUGGGCUUCUGGGCUAUGUGGCAAUGUGUGGUGAAAGGGUCCUCUUCUCCCUUCCCAUAACAGAGGCUGUCCCUCAUUCUCUGAAGUCAUGGGCGGUGCCCAGGGGUGACGAGUGACAAAAGUACAUGCAGGACCAGGGGCCUGACCUCUGGCAGUCCUGAGGCCCAGCUGGGGCUUCUGUCCAAGGGGAGUCUGGGAGAUUGGCAUGGGUUCUUGGGGCUUUGAGGACAUGUGACCACUGAACUGCUGUCUGUUUGGGUCUGGAUGUUUCUGAAGGCAGGAGGCAAGCUGGAAUCCUAUUGUGUGUCUGGGAGAAAGGUUGGGUGGUCCUCACCCUAUCAGGAUUUCUAAGGUCACCGGCGGAGAUGGAGGAGAAUGGGGAUGGGGGGAGGUGGCAGCUGCUGGAGGCUCGGGACCCUCAGGAACACCAAGAGGAGGCCUGGCUUCCCUAGCCCGAGAGGCAGGGAGGAGCUGAACACUGUUCUCUGGAAGCCACAGGACCCUCACUAGGAGAGCGCCCUGUAGCAGAGGGUGCCAGCGACACUCGUCACCUCGAGGGGCCAGGUCCCUGGCUCCUCGCUGUCCGGUGUGCCUGGGCUACUCUUCUCCACAUCCCCAGCUGGUCCCCUGAGUUCAGGGCUGCUGACGUGGGGCCUCCUCACAGGUGUGCUCCUGCCACUUCACCACAGAGCCGCUCAUCUCCAGGACCGAGGGCCACCAACCCAGGCUCUGCAUCUGCCUUCCCUGGAAUCUGCCCCACGGUGGACACUGGAGACUAAGGUCCAAGAGGAGGAGAGCUUCUGUCCAGCACCACUCUGUCCCCUCUGCUCAGCAGAGAAGGUGGGGUGCUCUGGGUGCCCUAGAUGUCUAUCAGAGGAGAGGAGCCACGUUGAGCCUAGGGGGCCUCGGUGCCUCCUCCACGCUCAGGCCAUGAGUCAAGGCAGACAGUCCCCAGGGCUCAGUGUCUUCUGUCUGCUCCAGACCCAUUGCCUGUCCUCCUCUGGCCUGGCCCUGGCCAUGGGCUUAGUGGUUAGGCAGGUCCUGCUGGGGGGCAGCUGAUGACAAUUGAGGAGAGGGAGUUGGGGGCCCAUGGAUCUUGCCCCGUCCCUGCUGGGCUGGGCAGGGCCGAGUCCAAGGGCAGGGAAAGACCAUGGCCCCAGUCUAUCUGACUUCUGUUCUAGCUCCCAUCACCAGUGGUCUUGGGCCAUGAGGCCACCUUGGCUGCCUUGGCCCUCCCUCAGUGUGGUACUGUCUUGGUGGACUGUGGGUCAAUGGUACACACCUUGGUGAUGUUGGUGGCUACAGGUGUGACAUAAGGGCCUGGGGCUGAUCCAGGUGGGUCCAUGUGGGAGGAUCGUCCAAGCCAAGGGGCACAGCAGGGAGCCAGCGUGGCUGGGUUGCAGGGCUGCCCACCACAUCGUCCGGUGGGUACUGAGGAAU